ACAUAGAACUAGUGUUCCAGUUCUAUUCUAUUGCAACAUCUAGAUGUCACAGAAUUUGAGUGAUAGAAAUCCUACCAAUAGAUUAAUAGAUAAUUAAUAUUAGUUUUAUUAUUGGAAGAGUAAUAGAAAAGUGUUUUUUAUGAUGUAUUAAACCUCUUCAUCUAUUUUUAAUGUUGUGUAUAAUUAUAAAUAACUAUAGAGCCAUAGUUGUUGCAGUUAUUCUUGUUUCCAGGGGUACUUUACCUAAACUACAGUAUUACAAUAAUAUUAUUAUUCAGAUAAUUUUGCUGAUUCCACAACAGCCUGGUCAUCCUUUUCAUUAUCCCUUAUCAGAUAAGCUGACCAAUCAUUAAACAGUCAGGUUUCUGAAUAAAAUACAUUUGCUCAGGUAAGCUCUUUUCUUCUUGCUCCUUGUCUCUAAAAUACAUUCAAGGGACUGGAAUGAUCAGUUUCCAGGUGUGGAUGGAAGAAAGUACAUUCAGGUUAACUAAAUGUGUAGUGCCCAUCGUGAAUCAGUCUCAUAACUUUUUACUGACCACAGGUUCAAGUUCUUCCCUGAAGUCCUCUAUCAGAUUGUUUCUUUGGAGACGCUGUUGAUUGGUAAUAACCAAGUGAAUGGGGUGGACCCAGGUCGUCUGAUCAAGUUGGUUCAUCUGUCAACACUGGAUCUGUCCAACAAUGACCUGCUGAACAUCCCCCCUGAACUGGGCAUGUGUACCAGCCUCAGGUGUCUCAGUCUGCAGGGAAAUCCUUUCCGCACACCCAGAGCAGCCAUCGUGGCCAAAGGAACAGAUGUAGUGUUGGAGUACCUCCGCAGCCGCAUACCUACAUGACCUCUGGCCAUGAUCAAUACGCAUUCUUGGGCUUGCAAUUCAACCUGCAAGUCGACAGGCUGUCAUCAGAGAGUGUUAGAUGAAUGUGUUGAAUGUCUGAAUGUGAUGAAUAUUUCUUAACAAUCAUAUUUAAACUGAUUUAUGUGAAAAUAAAUCAAUGAAAAAUGCUCUUCUCUUAAUAAAGUUGUUGAA